UCAACCAUCAACAAAUAUGACCUCAUUGGUCACAAGCCCUGCAGAGAUCCAACAAGAUUUGAGUUUUAAAUACAGAACAUAUUUCAAAGAGAACCAGUAGAGAGUGCUGAUGUAUGAACAGAAUUGAAUGCUGGUGAAGACAGAGUGUAAAGAAUCCCAAGAAACUUUUAGUGCCAGUUUUCAUUUAAUAAGCCAGUAGUAUAGCAACCUAAAAACCUUGGUGUGAUGACACCAGGAUGUUUUCAUGGAAUUGCAGCAGGAAAACAUGAUUGGCAGCGGAUGUCCUCUGGCUCACAGCACCAACUUCUCCAAGAGACUUAAGGCUGGGGUGUGGGGCGGAGGUAUUUCUUGCCAGAUGGGAGCUCCUUGGUGAAGACUCCUUUCAGGAAAAGUUUUUUGGCCUCCUCUUCAGGAAUCACUGGAAGGACCAUGACACUAUCCCCACCUUCCAAUCAACUGGGGUGGCAACCCUCUUUUCUGCUGUCAGCUGGAGAGAGGUGACUACCCUGAGAAUCUCAUCAAAGUUCCUGCCAGUGGUAGCCAGGUAGAUGAUAGACAGCUUCGGCUUCUUAUCAGGACCAAUAACAAACACCACACGAGCUGUCACAGGCAUGUCCUUUUCAUCCUUCUCCGCUGGAUCCAGCAUGCCCAACAGGAUGAAAAGGUCCCGAUUCUUAUCAUGGAUGAUGCGAAAAGGUAACUUUUCUGUGGAUUCUUCACCAUUGUAAGCAUUGAUAUCCUUGCUCCAGGCAAGACGGUCCUCAACACGGUCUAUCGAAAGGGGCAAUCAACUUAACAUUCCUCUUGGCAAAUUCCGGUGCCAGUUUUGCAGCUCUGCCAAGCUCUGUGGUGCACACUGGGGUAAAGUCCCGAGGGUGGGAGAAGAGAAUGCCCAGUGAGUUUCCCAGAAAGUCCUGGAAACGGACGCGGCCGGCGGUGGUAUUGGCCUCAAAGUUGGGAGCCACGUCCCCAAGAAGCCGACCUCCAGGCAUAGCGGUGGCGGUGACGAGGAGGCACAGCUCAGACGGCAACCAACC
rnacentral:lncRNA from 1 species